UCCGGUUUGGCACCGGCAGUCUCCCCAGAGUUCCCGGCAUGACCCGCUGGCAACUGAGGACAGGGGUUGCGCUCGUUGCGCCACUUAAGGCAACACCUCACGACACGAGCUGACGACAGCCAUGCACCACCUGUGUACCAGUCCCGAAGGAGGACCGUAUUUCUACGGUUUUCUGGUGCAUGUCAAGCCCUGGUAAGGUUCUUCGCGUUGCAUCGAAUUAAACCACAUGCUCCGCUGCUUGUGCGGGUCCCCGUCAAUUCCUUUGAGUUUUAGCCUUGCGGCCGUACUCCCCAGGCGGAGUGCUUAACGCGUUAGCUGCGACACCGCGGGGGUCAAUACCCACAGCAUCUAGCACUCAUCGUUUACGGCGUGGACUAC
rnacentral:misc_RNA from 1 species